GGCGGGGUAGCUCAGGUGGCUAGAGCAUGCGGUUCAUGCCCGCAGUGUCAGUGGUUCAAGUCCCCUCACCGCCACCA
rnacentral:tRNA from 1 species